CAUGUACUCCCUCCGUCCGGAAAUACUUGCUGCAUAAAUAGAUGAAAUUGGAUGUAUCUAAAACUAAAAUACGUCUAGAUGAAUCUAUUUCCCGACAAAUAUUUCUGAACGGAGGGAGUACUAC
rfam:Triticum aestivum genome assembly, contig: Triticum_aestivum_CS42_TGACv1_scaffold_145888_2BS